GCAAUAUGUCACGAAUUUAUCAUGCAUCAAGUUAUAUUUUUCUUAGUAUAAUAAUUACAUUCGUUUAGUUAAGCAACUUGUUUAUGAUAAUUGUAGAAAAGUGUAGAAAAAUGACACUUGCAUUAUAUCCUGGGAUGAAGAAACGUUAUUUUAUGUCGAUUUCUUUAGAUGACAAAGGAGGUAACCAAAUAGCAUA